GGCACUAUAGCCAAGUGGUUAAGGCGACAGAUUAGAAUCCACGUUUGGAACCGUUCAUCUGUUACUCUCUGAGUGCGCAGGUUCAAAUCCUGCUGGUGUCG